rnacentral:tRNA from 1 species
GUCGGUGUGGCGGAACGGCAGACGCGCUAGCUUGAGGGGCUAGUGUCCGCAAGGACGUGAGGGUUCAAAUCCCUCCACCGACACCA